rnacentral:lncRNA from 1 species
AUGAUUUUUAUUUCUUCUAUUACAGCUGGUUUAUAGUCUUCUGUCAAUUUUCUACUGUACAGCAAGGUGACCCAGUCACACAUACAUGUAUACAUUCUCUUUUCUCACAUUAUCAUGCUCCAUCACAAGUGACUAGACAUAGUUUCCAGUGCUAUACAACAGGAUCUCAUUGCUUAUCCAUUCCAAAGGCAAUAUUAUCCCUUUGAACCAGGGAACAGGGACUAUAUUCUGGGAUGUUGCUACACAGGAGUAUAACUUCAACUCAUUGUUAAUUUUUAACUGAAUUUCAAGGCAAAUUUAAUGUUAGGAAAAUAGUUAGAUUGGAAAUGUUGAAGCCAUAUUGAAGAUAUGAUUUGAGAAUGAAAAUAAGCAAAUAGAGUCUUAAAUAUAAUUUGGUUUUGAUAUAAAAAUAAAUGCUCACUAUGAGCAUUUUGAGAUGAAGAGUAAAGAAUAUAAAACAAAUUCAUAACACCCAUAUUUAGAGCUAAACACCCUUAACCGCAUUUUAUAUGUUAUAAAAUUGAGAUAUCCCUGCCAUUAAAAUAUAGUAUUUUUCAUCUACAUUUAACUAGCAUUAAUAAAAUAAUUUCCCUGUGCUAUUAAAAUUAUGCUUACGUUCCAUCUGCUUCUCUUAAUAAUUUUUAAGCUAUAAGAGUGUGCCUAAUGCUAAAAUCUAAAAGGUAAGGUAGAAAGAGGCAAAAACCUGGUGAAAAAUAAGUCUACUAUUAAGAAAUUAAUAUUUACUUUUGGUGUACUACCUUUCAAUCUUUAAAAAUAUAUAUAUUAUAGGUAUGUUUAUGUAUUGACAAAUAUAAUAUGUGUAUUGUGUUUCUCUUGUCAUUUUUGGUUAGCAAAAUAUCGAGAAUAUGUUUCAAUAAAAAUAUUGUCUUAUAACAGGAUUUAAUGGAUAUAUAUAGUACUUUAUUAUCUGGACAUAAUUUAUGUAUUUAUGAAGAGUCGUCACUGUGGUGAAUUUACGUUAUUCUUUUUGAUAAAAUGUUUGAACAUAUAUCAUUUCAAAUUUAAAUUAUUUCUUUAGGACAAGUUCCCAAAAGUAUAAUUAUUGGGCAAAAAUUUUUAAAUAAAUUUAAUAAUUGAUAUAGUAAAAAUUUUCCAAUUAAUUUGAAGUGAUUUACAUGCUGACAGAGUAAAAAGGGGAUUAUUUUUUUCCUUCAAUGUGACAACACAGGAUAUGAGCACUUUAUCAUUUUUAUAUCAGUCUGAUGGGUAAAAAAAUGGUAUCUCGGUUUUCAUUUACAUUUCUUUUGUGAGUAGUGAAGUUAAUUUUUUCAUGUUUAUUUGAUAUAUUUAUAUUAAUGAAUAGAAAACUAUUAAUGUCUCGUACUCAAAAUUACUAUGUUCAUACUUUUGUUGUCUUAUAAGAGCUAUUUAUAUGUUAGAUAUCAAUCUUUUGUCUAUGCAAAUGUAUUUCAAUUUGUGAUUUCCUUUUCAGUUAUCUUUAUCCUCUUUCAAGUAAAUUAAGUUUAAAAAUAUUUAUGUAGUUAAAUACAUCAAUAUUUUUCCUCUCUAAUUUCUGCUUUGAAGUUGUGCUUAGAAGGGGUUACCUCAAACAUCCAAGAUUAUAUAAAUAUUCAAGAUAUUGUCUUCUGGACUUCUGUGGAUUUCAUUUUUUCUAGUUAGUUCUGUAAAAGUUUAUAUCUGAACCUUAUUUUGAAGUAAGAUGCGAUAUAGACUCUAACAUUUUUCUCAACAAUAUUUUGGAAGAGUAAAUUUUAUUACAUAAUUAAUACAGCCAUCAAAGAUAAUGAAUACAAAUUGUAAAAUGCCAAUUAUAAUCCCAGUUAUUAACAACAUCUUACCCUCCUUCGUUCACCCUCUCUCUCCACACAGUCUCUGUCUCUUGCUGUCUUACUUCAUGCAUGGGGACAGGGGGAGUUACCAUGUAUGCCAGGCAUCAAAUAGUGCUUUGACAUUCUCAUGUAUGUAAUCCUCCAAAUGGACUUGUGAAGUAGAAAUUGUUCACUAUAUUUAAAGAUAAGGAGAGAGGAACCUGGAGAGAUCAGGGGUGGGGGACAAAGAUGAUAAAGAUCAAUGCCUGACAAAUAUGCACGUGUAUGAGUUCCUGGGAGUGUUGUUAAAAGACAGAUUCUCUCUCUCUCUAUUUUUUUUUUUUUUUUUUUUGCUUUUAAGGGCCACACUUGUGGCAUAUGCAAAUUCCCAGGCAAGGAGUCAAAUCAGAGCUACAGCUGCCAGCCUACACCACAGCCACAGCAACACUAGAUCGAAGUCAUGUCUGUCACCUACACCACAGCUCACAGCAACACCAGAUCCUUAAUCUGCUGAGAGCGGCCAGGGAUCAGACCCACUACUCAUGGAUACUAGUAGGGUUUGUUUCCACUGAGCCACAGUGGGAACUCCAAAAAACAGAUUCUUACUCAGAAAGUUGAGGAGAGACCCGAGACUUUCAGGUAAUGCUGAUGGUCCAUGGAUCAUAUGCUGAGUAGUAAGAACAAGGAAAACAAUUAAAUAGAGGAAGGCAAUAUAUAUCUAGGUCUUCAGACACCUGUCUCUUUCCACUCUCCCAUGCUUCCUCCAGCUGCUAUCAGCACACAAGUGCUUAUCCUUCUAACAAGCUUCCAACCUGAAACAAAGGUGGUUUUUUCAAGCCCCACCUUUAUUCACAAAGGCAACAAUUACUUUAAAAAUAUGAAAGUGAAGAUGAGUGAUAAAAAGAAAUUUAGAUGAAAAAAGCCCAGGCAUGUAUACCUCAGAAAAAGUUCCAAGCACACUUUCUGAGACUUGGAAGGUCCCAUUACUGAAAUUAAUUUCUAGAGGACACAGAGAGUUAGGUUCCAAAGAAAAACUAGGAGCGCCAAAAUAUUUCAAUUGUAUUUUAUAAUCUAGACAUUCUUUAAAUAUGGAACAUUCACAGUUAUUGCUAAGAUCAAU